CCUACGGGAGGCAGCAGUGAGGAAUAUUGGUCAAUGGGCGUAAGCCUGAACCAGCCAAGUCGCGUGAGGGAUGAAGGUUCUAUGGAUUGUACACCUCUUUUAUAAGGGAAUAAAGUGUGGGACGUGUCCUAUUUUGUAUGUACCUUAUGAAUAAGGAUCGGCUAACUCCGUGCCAGCAGCCGCGGUAAUACGGAGGAUCCGAGCGUUAUCCGGAUUUAUUGGGUUUAAAGGGUGCGUAGGCGGCCUUUUAAGGCAGGUGUGAAAGUCUGUGGCUCAACCAUAGAAUUGCCGUUGAAACUGGGAGUCUUGAGUAUAGUAGAGGCAGGCGGAAUGCGUGGUGUAGCGGUGAAAUGCUUAGAUAUCACGCAGAACCCCGAUUGCGAAGGCAGCCUACCAAGCCAUGACUGACGCUGAUGCACGAAAGCGUGGGGAUCAAACAGGAUUAGAGACCCUGGUAGUC
rnacentral:rRNA from 1 species